GAUGAACGCUGGCGGCGUGCCUAAUACAUGCAAGUCGAGCGAACGGACGAGAAGCUUGCUUCUCUGAUGUUAGCGGCGGACGGGUGAGUAACACGUGGAUAACCUACCUAUAAGACUGGGAUAACUUCGGGAAACCGGAGCUAAUACCGGAUAAUAUUUUGAACCGCAUGGUUCAAAAGUGAAAGACGGUCUUGCUGUCACUUAUAGAUGGAUCCGCGCUGCAUUAGCUAGUUGGUAAGGUAACGGCUUACCAAGGCAACGAUGCAUAGCCGACCUGAGAGGGUGAUCGGCCACACUGGAACUGAGACACGGUCCAGACUCCUACGGGAGGCAGCAGUAGGGAAUCUUCCGCAAUGGGCGAAAGCCUGACGGAGCAACGCCGCGUGAGUGAUGAAGGUCUUCGGAUCGUAAAACUCUGUUAUUAGGGAAGAACAUAUGUGUAAGUAACUGUGCACAUCUUGACGGUACCUAAUCAGAAAGCCACGGCUAACUACGUGCCAGCAGCCGCGGUAAUACGUAGGUGGCAAGCGUUAUCCGGAAUUAUUGGGCGUAAAGCGCGCGUAGGCGGUUUUUUAAGUCUGAUGUGAAAGCCCACGGCUCAACCGUGGAGGGUCAUUGGAAACUGGAAAACUUGAGUGCAGAAGAGGAAAGUGGAAUUCCAUGUGUAGCGGUGAAAUGCGCAGAGAUAUGGAGGAACACCAGUGGCGAAGGCGACUUUCUGGUCUGUAACUGACGCUGAUGUGCGAAAGCGUGGGGAUCAAACAGGAUUAGAUACCCUGGUAGUCCACGCCGUAAACGAUGAGUGCUAAGUGUUAGGGGGUUUCCGCCCCUUAGUGCUGCAGCUAACGCAUUAAGCACUCCGCCUGGGGAGUACGACCGCAAGGUUGAAACUCAAAGGAAUUGACGGGGACCCGCACAAGCGGUGGAGCAUGUGGUUUAAUUCGAAGCAACGCGAAGAACCUUACCAAAUCUUGACAUCCUUUGACAACUCUAGAGAUAGAGCCUUCCCCUUCGGGGGACAAAGUGACAGGUGGUGCAUGGUUGUCGUCAGCUCGUGUCGUGAGAUGUUGGGUUAAGUCCCGCAACGAGCGCAACCCUUAAGCUUAGUUGCCAUCAUUAAGUUGGGCACUCUAAGUUGACUGCCGGUGACAAACCGGAGGAAGGUGGGGAUGACGUCAAAUCAUCAUGCCCCUUAUGAUUUGGGCUACACACGUGCUACAAUGGACAAUACAAAGGGCAGCGAAACCGCGAGGUCAAGCAAAUCCCAUAAAGUUGUUCUCAGUUCGGAUUGUAGUCUGCAACUCGGCUACAUGAAGCUGGAAUCGCUGGUAAUCGUAGAUCAGCAUGCUACGGUGAAUACGUUCCCGGGUCU
rnacentral:rRNA from 1 species